rnacentral:rRNA from 1 species
CCUACGGGUGGCUGCAGUGGGGAAUAUUGCACAAUGGGGGAAACCCUGAUGCAGCGACGCCGCGUGAGUGAAGAAGUAUUUCGGUAUGUAAAGCUCUAUCAGCAGGGAAGAAAAUGACGGUACCUGAUUAAGAAGCCCCGGCUAACUACGGGCCGGCAGCCGCGGUAAUACGUAGGGAGCAAGCGUUAUCCGGAUUUACUGGGUGUAAAGGGAGCGUAGGCGGCAGUACAAGUCUGGAGUGAAAUGCCUGGGCUCAACGACGGAACUGCUUUGGAAACUGGGCAGCUAGAGUGCAGGAGAGGUAAGUGGAAUUCCUAGUGUAGCGGUGAAAUGCGUAGAUAUUAGGAGGAACACCAGUGGCGAAGGCGGCUGACUGGACUGUAACUGACGUUGAGGCUCGAAAGCGUGGGGAGCAAACAGGAUUAGAUACCCGAGUAGUC